CACGAGAAGGGAUCCCUUUUUUGGUUCUUGCAUCCGCCCAACUCCCACAAAAAAAACCCUUGCGAGGACAAAACAACCCCAUAAUAAAGCGGGGCCCACCAGUUGAAAACGAAAGUUAAUUGCAUGAUCUGCCAAUCUCAAAUUUUCAGACAAACUCGCUCGGAAAUCAAGGAGAAAAUGGUCAUCACACCCUUACUGUCGGAUUUUUAGCCGAUAACAGCAUCUAAUUGUGACGAAACUGCCGGGUUUCGAGUGGAGCUUCAGUCUGUCCUUAUGUGGACAGAUAGACGCGCAACUUGGAUGACUCUUCACUCUGAAUGUCUGGGCCAGGGGUGGAUGGAGCGCAUGAGUUGUCGAAUGAACCGCGAAUUUGAGCGUGGAUCCCCUGAGAUUCAAAAGUUGAUCAACAAAAAGAAAACUCGGGAUUUUCGGGAACAAUAGAAUUCCCGUAGGGGCCAUGGAAAUAAAACGGUUGAGCAUUUAGAAAUCAGUCAACGGCCGCUUCCUUGUCAUCAUUCUUUUCAAUGGCCAGCACAGCUCUAAUAGAAGUAUUUUCGCUGCUACUACCGGAGUUCAUUCGGACGCUCAUGCCCUUACAGAGUGUUAUAUAGGUGAAUUUCUCACGCGU
rnacentral:sRNA from 1 species